AGCACCGGCUAACUACGUGCCAGCAGCCGCGGUAAUACGUAGGGUGCAAGCGUUAUCCGGAAUUAUUGGGCGUAAAGGGCUCGUAGGCGGUUCGUCGCGUCCGGUGUGAAAGUCCAUCGCUUAACGGUGGAUCCGCGCCGGGUACGGGCGGGCUUGAGUGCGGUAGGGGAGACUGGAAUUCCCGGUGUAACGGUGGAAUGUGUAGAUAUCGGGAAGAACACCAAUGGCGAAGGCAGGUCUCUGGGCCGUCACUGACGCUGAGGAGCGAAAGCGUGGGGAGCGAACAGGAUUAGAUACCCUGGUAGUCCACGCCGUAAACGGUGGAUGCUGGAUGUGGGGACCAUUCCACGGUCUCCGUGUCGGAGCCAACGCGUUAAGCAUCCCGCCUGGGGAGUACGGCCGCAAGGCUAAAACUCAAAGAAAUUGACGGGGGCCCGCACAAGCGGCGGAGCAUGCGGAUUAAUUCGAUGCAACGCGAAGAACCUUACCUGGGCUUGACAUGUUCCCGACAGCCGUAGAGAUACGGUCUCCCUUCGGGGCGGGUUCACAGGUGGUGCAUGGUCGUCGUCAGCUCGUGUCGUGAGAUGUUGGGUUAAGUCCCGCAACGAGCGCAACCCUCGCCCUGUGUUGCCAGCACGUCGUGGUGGGAACUCACGGGGGACCGCCGGGGUCAACUCGGAGGAAGGUGGGGAUGACGUCAGAUCAUCAUGCCCCUUACGUCCAGGGCUUCACGCAUGCUACAAUGGCCGGUACAACGGGAUGCGACACCGCGAGGUGGAGCGGAUCCCUUAAAACCGGUCUCAGUUCGGAUUGGAGUCUGCAACCCGACUCCAUGAAGGCGGAGUCGCUAGUAAUCGCGGAUCAGCAACGCCGCGGUGAAUGCGUUCCCGGGCCUUGUACACACCGCCCGUCAAGUCAUGAAAGUGGGUAGCACCCGAAGCCGGUGGCCCAACCUUUUGGGGGGAGCCGUCUAAGGUGAGACUCGUGAUUGGGACUAAGUCGUAACAAGGUAGCCGUACCGGAAGGUGCGGCUG
rnacentral:rRNA from 1 species